AUUCAAAACAAAAAUAUUAAUGCAUUCGUUAUUUCCAUUUCUGAAUAGUUGCUAUAUGGUCACGCAGGUUUGCGCAUUAAACCCAUGGCCCCGAAAAAUAUAGCCUAUCAACAAUUAUGUUGUUUCCCCGAACAUGACCCCUCUCUGCCAACUUUUUGAGCAUUUGGUCAUUUAUUUAUUAUUAUUAUUAUUAUUAUUAUUAUUAUUAUUAUUAUUAUUAUUAUUAGUCUAUUAUAAUUAUUUAGAUAACGCAUAGGCCUAAAUAUAAAUGAUCAGAAACAAAUCGCUUCAACACGUCGAGUUGUUUUUGAUUCGGUGUAUCAAACGAGUGGAUUGAACUCACUCAUUAAGACAGUGACUUUCUGCCACCUGGUGUCUGUUUUAGUUUCAUAUUAAACGUAGGCUAUCACUUCAUUGAUUCCAUCAUGUCAUAUUUAUGUCUUCAAAAUGUAGGCCUAAGACACUUCAUAAUAUUUGUAUGCACUUGUAGGCUAAUUGCUGUGUAAAUGCAUUAAGAUCUCUUCUGUAUUGAUGGCUCUGAUGAAGAUCUGGUUGGAUUUUAGUGGUAGGCUAACUGCCCUAUAGGCUACAGUCUUAUCCUCUAACUGAAUUUAUCGAUGUGGAUUAACGUGACGUUCAUACAUUUAAUAAGGCUGUUGCUGUCAGUAUUGUUUUUGGAAAUUAGGCUACAUUCAAAUGCAAUGGUCUCGUUUCAAAAGCAUUGGUCAAUAUGCUUGCGUUGACUUCACUGUAGCCUAUGUGCCCUGCUUCCUUUCCGUGAGUUUUGACCGAAAAAUGGAAAAAAUAAAGCGCUUCCGUUUCAGAGUCCCUGUUUCAUGUUUGUUAGCCCAGGACAUUUUACAAAUCCAGACCAAACGAUGUUCUACGACCAUGUCCGGAAUAAAGACGAGCAUAUCCAUGUCACACAGGUGUCACUGUGGCCUCAACCCUUCGCCUUCGCUUACUCUGAGCUCGAUUGCUAUGUCUGAGGUAAACCACGCCCUCCUCAUUACCCUACGCAGGAAGAAAUGUAGGAAGAAAUAAAUGAAGAAAUAAAUAAAUGUAGAAAAACAUAAAUGUAGAAAUAAAUAAAUGUAAAAAUAAAUAAAUGUAGAAAUAAAUAAAUGUAUAAAUGAAUAAAUGUAUAAAUAAAUAAAAGAAGAAAUAAAUAAAUAUGGAAAAAAAUAAAUAUAUACAUAAAUAAGGAAAUUAAUGUAUAAAUAAUUAUUUAUUUUCGUUUUUUUGCUUUUCUAUGUAUAUUUAUUUAUAUAUAUAUUUAUUAUUUUUUUCUUUUUUACAUUUAUUUGUAUAUUUAUUUAUGUAUUUAUUUAUUUUUUAUUUCGGCAGACUUGGCAUUCCAUACAAAACAGCAUAUUAGAAUGAUUUCUGCGACUGAAGACUGGAGUAAUGAUGCUGAAAAUCACAGAAAUAAAUUACAGUUGAAAGUAUAUUCACAUAGAAAACAUUUAUUUUAAAUUGUAAUAAUAUUUUAAAAUUUUUAUUGAAUAUUUUGAAUAAAUAAAUGCAGCCUUGGUGAGCAGAAGAGACUUCUUUUAAAAACAUUUGAAAAAAAAAUCUUACCAACCCCCAACGUUUGUGCAGUAGUGUGUGUAUACAGUAUAUUACAUGAGCUAGCUCUGGUAAAUGCUGUUGUAUCAGUAUGUGUUUCAUGAGCUUCACUGCCUCAGCUUUAGUAGUUCAGCAUAAAGGUUGACUUUGUGAAGGUAUUCAUCUGUAAUACUGAGAGCAUCCAGACCAGCGGCGUCUGCUAUUACCAAUAUCCUGAAGAUCUCCUCCACAGGCGCUCUCAUUGCAGGAAAGGUCAGCCAGCGCUGGGCUUCAUGUGCUCGGUCUGGAAUCGAGGACGGUGUAAGUGCUGAUGUUAUCCUCAUCAUACACACGUGAAAGCACUGAGAGCAUCAAAUGGACAUGUUCUGCACAUUUAUCUCACUCAGCUCGUUUUGCAUCCUUGUUAUGAGUCUAUAGAGCUAGUUGUCAUUUAGCAGACACUUUAUCAUCUAUCAGAACACUUACUACAGGACUAGAGAAGAAGAAACUGAACACUAUAAAUCGAAUGCGGUAGCAGUAGAUCAACACACGCAACUAAUGCACUGUACGCUACUCUGAAAUGUGGAUAAAUGUAAAUGAAUGUCAGCAUACUGCAUACUGUUGUUAGUAAAAAUAGUAACAUGCAAGAGUACAAAGCAAUAAACAUUUUAAGCAGUGUUUUGCCACAUUUGUGUCACAUUUUAAGUCUCUUCUACUCACCAAAGCUGCAUUUAUCUCAUCAAAAAUACAGUAAAAUCAGUAAUACUGUAAUAUUACAAUUUAAAACAGAUGUCAUGUAUUUCUGUGAUGUGCAGCUGUAUUUUCAGCAUCAUUACUCCAGUCUCCAGUGCCACAUGAUCUUCAGAAAUCAGUAUAAUAUGCUGAUUUGCUGCUCAAGAAACAUUACUGAUUAUUAUCAAUGUUGAAAAAAGUUGUGCUGCACAAUAUUUUUGUGGAAACCGUGAUGCAUUUUAUUUUUCAGUAUUCACAGAUGAACAGAAAGUUCAAAAGAACAGCAUUUAUUUGAAAUAGAAAUCUUCUGUAACAUUACAAAUGCCUCGACUGUCACUUUCAAUCAAUUUAAUGCAUCCUUGCUGAAUAAAACACUACAAAUAGUGAAUAAUAGUGCCUAGUUAUUUUAUUAGAAAUAACCCGCCGAUGGUUAUUUUGCAUUUUUAAAUGUUUUUUUUUUUUUUAUAUAAAUAUACAAAUGUUAAAAUGUUGUAUCUACCAAUGACUUCCAUACGGCAGCCCAACAGAAAAAUGAC
ensembl:lncRNA